rnacentral:rRNA from 1 species
UACGGGGGGGGGCAAGCGUUGUUCGGAAUUACUGGGCGUAAAGGGCUCGUAGGCGGCCAACUAAGUCAGACGUGAAAUCCCUCGGCUUAACCGGGGAACUGCCUCUGAUACUGGAUGGCUUGAGAUUGGGAGAGGGAUGCGGAAUUCCAGGUGUAGCGGUGAAAUGCAUAGAUAUCUGGAGGAACACCGGUGGCGAAGGCGGGUCUCUGGGCCGAUACUGACGCUGAGGAGCGAAAGCGUGGGGAGCGAACAGG